CCCUUAGAUGUUCUGGGCCGCACGCGUGCUACACUGAGUGGAUCAGCGGGUCAGGUUGCGCGAAAGUGUUUCCUAAUCUUUAAAUCCGCUCGUGAUGGGGAUUGACGGUUGCAAUUUUCCGUCAUGAACGAGGAAUACCUUGUAAGCGCGGGUCAUCAUCCCGCGCUGAAUACGUCCCUGCCCUUUGUACACACCGCCCGUCGCACCUACCGAUUGGAUGGUCCGGUGAGAAUUUCGGAUUGUGAUAUCGUCGCUUUAAUUAGGGAUGAUGUUGUGAGAAGUUAUUCAAACCUUACCAUCUAGAGGAAGGUGAAGUCGUAACA
rnacentral:rRNA from 1 species